ACCUGGCUGGCUCAGUCAGAAGAGCAUGAGACUCUUGAUCUCAGGGUCGUGAGUUCAAGCCCCACUUUGGGUG
rnacentral:tRNA from 1 species